AUUGAACGCUGGCGGCAGGCCUAACACAUGCAAGUCGAGCGGAUGAAGGGAGCUUGCUCCUGGAUUCAGCGGCGGACGGGUGAGUAAUGCCUAGGAAUCUGCCUGGUAGUGGGGGAUAACGUCCGGAAACGGGCGCUAAUACCGCAUACGUCCUGAGGGAGAAAGUGGGGGAUCUUCGGACCUCACGCUAUCAGAUGAGCCUAGGUCGGAUUAGCUAGUUGGUGGGGUAAAGGCCUACCAAGGCGACGAUCCGUAACUGGUCUGAGAGGAUGAUCAGUCACACUGGAACUGAGACACGGUCCAGACUCCUACGGGAGGCAGCAGUGGGGAAUAUUGGACAAUGGGCGAAAGCCUGAUCCAGCCAUGCCGCGUGUGUGAAGAAGGUCUUCGGAUUGUAAGGCACUUUAAGUUGGGAGGAAGGGCAGUAAGUUAAUACCUUGCUGUUUUGACGUUACCAACAGAAUAAGCACCGGCUAACUUGGUG
rnacentral:rRNA from 1 species